rnacentral:rRNA from 1 species
UACGUAGGGGGCAAGCGUUGUCCGGAUUUAUUGGGCGUAAAGAGCGUGUAGGCGGCCAGAUAGGUCCGUUGUGAAAACUCGAGGCUCAACCUCGAGACGCCGAUGGAAACCAUCUGGCUAGAGUCCGGAAGAGGAGAGUGGAAUUCCCGGUGUAGCGGUGAAAUGCGCAGAUAUCGGGAAGAACACCCGUGGCUAGGGCGGCUCUCUAGUACGGUACUGACGCUGAGACGCGAAAGCGUGGGGAGCGAACAGG